GACGAACGCUGGCGGCGUGCUUAACACAUGCAAGUCGAACGGUAAGGCCCUUCGGGGUACACGAGUGGCGAACGGGUGAGUAACACGUGGGUGAUCUGCCCUGCACUUCGGGAUAAGCCUGGGAAACUGGGUCUAAUACCGGAUAGGACCCUGGGAUGCAUGUCCUGGGGUGGAAAGCUUUUGCGGUGUGGGAUGGGCCCGCGGCCUAUCAGCUUGUUGGUGGGGUGAUGGCCUACCAAGGCGACGACGGGUAGCCGGCCUGAGAGGGUGACCGGCCACACCGGGACUGAGAUACGGCCCAGACUCCUACGGGAGGCAGCAGUGGGGAAUAUUGCACAAUGGGCGCAAGCCUGAUGCAGCGACGCCGCGUGAGGGAUGACGGCCUUCGGGUUGUAAAUCUCUUUCAGCACCGACGAAGCGCAAGUGACGGUAGGUGCAGAAGAAGGACCGGCCAACUACGUGCCAGCCGCCGCGGUAA
rnacentral:rRNA from 1 species